rnacentral:rRNA from 1 species
GGGCCCGCACAAGCGGUGGAGCAUGUGGUUUAAUUCGAUGAUACGCGAGGAACCUUACCAGGGCUUAAAUGUUAGGUGACAGAUCUAGAAAUAGAUUUUCUUCGGACACUUAACAAGGUGCUGCAUGGUUGUCGUCAGCUCGUGCCGUGAGGUGUCAGGUUAAGUCCUAUAACGAGCGCAACCCCCAUCGUUAGUUGCCAACGAGUAAUGUCGGGAACUCUAACGAAACUGCCGGUGCAAACCGUGAGGAAGGUGGGAUGACGUCAAAUCAUCACGGCCCUUACGUCCUGGGCUACACACGUGCUACAAUGGUCGGUACAGAGAGCAGCCACUACGCGAGUAGGAGCAAAUCUUCAAAGCCGAUCUC